rnacentral:rRNA from 1 species
AGAGUUUGAUCAUGGCUCAGAUUGAACGCUGGCGGUAUGCUUAACACAUGCAAGUCGAACGGAAACGAUGGUAGCUUGCUACCAGGCGUCAAGUGGGGACGGGUGAGUAACGCGUAGGAAUCUGCCCAGUAGUGGGGGACAACCAGGGGAAACCCUGGCUAAUACCGCAUACACUCUACGGAGAAAAGGAGGCCUCUUCUUGAAAGCUUUCGCUAUUGGAUGAGCCUGCGUGAGAUUAGCUAGUUGGUAGGGUAAAGGCCUACCAAGGCGACGAUCUCUAGCUGGUCUGAGAGGACGAUCAGCCACACUGGGACUGAGACACGGCCCAGACUCCUACGGGAGGCAGCAGUGGGGAAUAUUGGACAAUGGGCGCAAGCCUGAUCCAGCAAUACCGCGUGUGUGAAGAAGGCCCUAGGGUUGUAAAGCACUUUCAGCAGUGAAGAAAUGCUUAAGGUUAAUAACCUUGAGUCUUGACGUUAACUGCACAAGAAGCACCGGCUAACUCCGUGCCAGCAGUUGCGGUAAUACGGGGGGUGCAAGCGUUAAUCGGAUUUACUGGGCGUAAAGCGCGCGUAGGUGGUUUGUUAAGCGAGAUGUGAGAGCCCUGGGCUCAACCUGGGAACUGCAUUUAGAACUGGAUAGCUAGAGUAUGGUAGAGGAGUGUGGAAUUUCAGGUGUAGCGGUGAAAUGCGUAGAGAUCUGAAGGAACAUCAGUGGCGAAGGCGACACUCUGGACCAAUACUGACGCUGAGGUGCGAAAGCGUGGGUAGCAAACAGGAUUAGAUACCCUGGUAGUCCACGCCGUAAACGAUGUCUACUAGCCGUUGGGUUCCUUGAGGACUUAGUGGCGCAGCUAACGCAUUAAGUAGACCGCCUGGGGAGUACGGCCGCAAGGUUAAAACUCAAAUGAAUUGACGGGGAACCGCACAAGCGGUGUAGCAUGUGGUUUAAUUCGAUGCAACGUGAAGAACCUUACCAGAUCUUGACAUCCUACUAAGUUUCCAGAGAUGGAUUCGUGCCUUCUUCGGGGAACUCAGUGACAGGUGCUGCAUGGCUGUCGUCAGCUCGUGCCGUGAGGUGUUGGGUUAAGUCCCGCAACGAGCGCAACCCCUAUCUUUAGUUGCCAGCGAGUAAUGUCGGGGACUCUAGAGAGACUGCCAGUGUAAUAAACUGGAGGAAGGUGGGGACGACGUCAAGUCAUCAUGGUCCUUAUGUCCAGGGCUACACACGUGCUACAAUGGCCGGUACAGAGGGAAGCAAUACCGCGAGGUGGAGCCAAUCUCAGAAAGCCGGUCUCAGUUCGGAUUGGAGUCUGCAACUCGACUCCAUGAAGUUGGAAUCGCUAGUAAUCGCGUAUCAGCAUAACGCGGUGAAUACGUUCCCGGGCCUUGUACACACCGCCCGUCAAGUCAGCCGAGUUGAUUGCACCCGAAGAAGGUGAGCUAACCGCAAGGAGGCAGCUUUCGAAGGUGUGAUUAGCAAGGGGGACUAAGUCGGAACAAGGUAACC